AGUGAACGCUGGCGGUAGGCCUAACACAUGCAAGUCGAACGGCAGCACAGUAAGAGCUUGCUAUUACGGGUGGCGAGUGGCGGACGGGUGAGGAAUACAUCGGAAUCUACUUUUUCGUGGGGGAUAACGUAGGGAAACUUACGCUAAUACCGCAUACGACCUACGGGUGAAAGCAGGGGAUCUUCGGACCUUGCGCGAUUGAAUGAGCCGAUGUCGGAUUAGCUAGUUGGCGGGGUAAAGGCCCACCAAGGCGACGAUCCGUAGCUGGUCUGAGAGGAUGAUCCGGCACACUGGAACUGAGCCACGGUCCGGACUCCUACGGGAGGCAGCGGUGGGAAAUAUUGGACAAUGGGCGCAGGCCGGAUGCAGCCAUACCGCGUGGGUGAAGAAGGCCUUCGGGUUGUAAAGCCCUUUUGUUGGGAAAGAAAAGCAGCAGGUUAAUACCCCGCUGUUCUGACGGUACCCAAAGAAUAAGCACCGGCUAACUUCGUG
rnacentral:rRNA from 1 species